UUUCCGUAGGUGAACCUGCGGAAGGAUCAUUAAAAAUUGGACUCCAUUGGUGAGUUCAUUAAUAAUCCUACCCUUUGUGAAUUUGUUUGUUUGAAUAAUUUUUUUUCCAAAAAAAAUUAUUGAAUGUCUUUCCCUGUUUUGGUGGAGCUUGUAAAGUGAAACCAGGCAGGGGAAUGGCAAACAAUAAUUAUUUUUGAAAAAGACCUUUUUUAAAAUUAAACUUUUUGUAUUCAUUUGUCUAAAAUUAUUUUUAUAAUAUAAAAACAACUUUUGACAAUGGAUCUCUUGGUUCUCGCAACGAUGAAGAACGCAGCAAAAUGCGAUAAGUAGUGUGAAUUGCAGAAUACGUGAAUCAUCGAAUCUUCGAACGCAUAUUGCACUUUUUUAGUUUACUAAAAAGUAUGUCUGUUUGAGUAUCAGUAAAAUAUUCUCAUAAAAAAUUUAUUUUUUAUGGUUAUGAGUGUUUUACAACGAUAACAAGUUGUUUCACUUUAAAUUCUUUGUUAUCAAAAAAAUCAUUAAAAGCUAAUUUAAAGAUUUUUUAAAAUUGGAUAAAAUUUUCCCGUAAAAAGGAAUAACCUAAACAAUUUUAAAAAAUUAAAAUCGGUUUGAUUUUUCUUGAUUUAAAAAGGAAAAAAAAGUAAAAAUUAACUUGAUCUCAAAUCAGAUAAGAGUACCCGCUGAACUUAAGCAUAUCAAUAAGCGGAGGAAAAGAAACUAACUAGGAUUCCCUCAGUAACGGCGAGUGAAGCGGGAAGAGCUCAAAUUUGAAAUCUUCAAGGUUUUACCUUGACGAAUUGUAGUUUAAAGAAGUGUUUUCUGUUGGAGUUUUGGUAAAAGUUCUUUGGAAAAGGACAUCAUAGAGGGCGAGAAUCCCGUAUUUGACCAUUAUCUCCAGCUUUGUGAUACACUUUCAAAGAGUCGGAUUGUUUGGGAAUGCAGUCCAAAAUGGGUGGUAAAUUUCAUCUAAAGCUAAAUACUGGCGAGAGACGAUAGCGAACAAGUACCGUGAGGGAAAGAUGAAAAGAACUUUGAAAAGAGAGUUAAACAGUACGUGAAAUUGUCAAAAGGGAAGCGUUUGACACCAGUGUUGUUUUCUCGAAAAUCAAUUAAAAAAGGCCGGAUUUUGUGUUGUAUUGACUUUAUCAGCUUUCUGCACUUUUUUCUUGUCUUUUUUAAUGCACUUUUCGUUUAACAAGUCAACAUCAAUUUCUUUUGUUGUAAAAGGGUCAUUGGAAGGUGGCUUUCUUUUCGGAGAAAGUGUUUAUAGCCUUUGGCCUCUGCAAUCGGAGAGAUUGAGGUCUGCAGCGUAGAUCCUUCGGGUUAGAUACAUUUGUGCUAAGUUAUAGCCUUUCAUAGACAACUUGUUGACUAUGAUCAGUCAUGUAGCUUACUCGCUUAUGCUAUUUUACCUACGCUUAGGAUGUUG
rnacentral:misc_RNA from 1 species